rnacentral:lncRNA from 1 species
GUUUUUUAUUCCAUUUCUUUCCUGGGCUUAAUCUUUAUUUCUUCCAGCUUUUAUCCAUUUCUGUUCUUAGUUUCUGAAUUUCUAAUUCUAGGGUUCUUUUCAUAUCUUCAAGUGCUUGAAUGAGAAUAUAUGAAUCUGUUGAGUGUUGACUUACAAAUUUCUUCUGCUUCAAGGUUUUUGUCAUGGAAGGUGGGUUGUUACUCAGUUGAUAUAUGUAAAAAUUUCUUUCCUGAUUUUUUUCAAUGGCUCUGUAUGCAUUUGUUGAUAUUUCUUUUCAUUUUUAUGGUAUUGUGGUGAUUUAUAAGAUUCCUAGCUUAAUGGCUACAUCUUCUAGCAAUAUAACAAGGUCCAUAAGUUUUAGGAUUAUUUGGUUCACUUGUUUUAGUAGUGGGAGGAAGAGCUGUCAGUCCCCCAGUGUUGUGUUUCUCUUUGAUAGUGCAGGACUCAAAAUUUUCCAACUUUUGCUUCUUCUUCCCUUCACCACCCAACUGAAAAUGGUGCUUCUCCUUUCCUUUUUGUCUCUUUUUCUUCCCAUAACUAUGUUUUGAAUAAUGCUCUUUAAAUAACCCCUGGCCCUUUUAAUCACAUGUACUCUGAAGUCAUUUCCCUGUAGUCCAUGUUAUGCCCUGCCCAGAUACUGUUAUCAUAUUUUCAUAUGGAGGGUAAACUUAAUCUUUUUGAUGGUGUUUUUUGAUAAGCCUUAAGCCCCUUUGGUAGUUUCCCUUUGUUGACUUUCCCAGAGUUUUUCUCAGUCUGCCUUUACCCACUAGAGAGCCUCAUGGCAGUUCAGGGGUCAAGCUAGAGUGUGAGAGAUCAUGCACUGGAAUGUGAUUUUUCUGUUUUUAGUCACAGUCAUUUUAAAGUUUUGGCAGGCUCUGCCUUCAAGUUAUCCUGAGGGCAUGGUUUUAUCUAGAUUUACAUAUCCUAUCUUGUUUUGAAUCAUUUGAGGAGGAAAUAUAGGGAGGCAAGUUAGCCAGGCAUUUAUUACUGUCUUCAGCUACCCCAAAGACCUGAGUUAUAGUUGUUUUGAAGUUCUCGUCUGCUGACUUCAGUUGUGUGGAUCAUCUGUCUAUUUGCUUUUAUUGUUUUUUUUCCUCUUGACUCUUGGUCAUAUGACCUUGCCUCUUCACAGGUCUUAUAAUUCCUGAUUGUAGGUAGGAUGUUGUGUAUAAAAGACUCAUAGAGGUUCCAGAUAUUAUUACAUUGCACAAGAAAAAACUUCCCCUUUGCCUCUUGCUCCUAAGUUUUAUAUACUGGACAAAUCUCCAUCCUCCCAAAAUUCACAUAUUGAAGCUCUAACCCCCAAUGUGACUGUAUCUGGAGAUGGGGCCUCUAAUGAAGUAAUUAAGAUUCAAUGAGAUCAUAAGAGUGGGGCCCUAUUCUGAUAGGACUAGUGCCCUUAUAAGAUGAGAAAGAGAACUCCCUGUUUUCAUGCACUAAGGAAAGGCCAUGUGACGUCACAGAGAGAAGAUGACCAUCAGCAAGCCAGGAAGAGAGCUCUUCCCAGAAAUCAAAUUGGCUGGAACCUUGAUCUUGGACUUCCCAACCUCUAGAACUGUAAGAAAUAAAUUUCUGUUGUUUAAACCAUCCAGUGUAAAAUAUUUUGUUAUGGGAGCCCAAGUGGACUAAUAUACCUCUAUAUGCAGAAAGUGGGCUUAGUCACUUAAAUCCAAUAAGGAACUGGACUAGAGAAAAAUUUAAGAUUCAGUCUACUGGUUUAAUCAUGUUCCUGGUGCCUGGCUAUCCCAGGUUUUUCCUUGCAAACAUGGUGGUUCUUUGCCUUUUCAGUACUGAGAGACUGCAGGAGAUACGUUCCUGCCCUUCAGAAGUUUGCAGCUUACAUUUUGUCCUUCUGUCCCAGGCAACUUCAAUAUUUGAUAAAUGUCUUCAUAGGGAGACUGGCCAUGUGUUUGGGGCAGACCUCUUCCCUGAUGAUAAUUUGUUUUAUAAGCUCUGUGAGACUGUGGGACAUUUCAGUAGAAUGGAGAGAACCGGGCGUGCAUUUGAGGCCCCUCAAGUUUCUAACACUCUACAAGAUUGCAAAAGCUUUGCUGGCUGCUCUUCUUCCAUCGGAGUCCCUCUACCUGGGUCAAGCCCAAGCAUCAGUGCAUCCCCACAACUGACAAAUGCCCUGAGAGAAAAAUAACUGGCAAUCGUCAGCUCACCUCAGAAUUGUUCUCUGUCUCUCCAGAAUUUUAGUUCAUUUCGUCUUCAUUGAUUUCACAGCUCUCUGAGGCUUUUGAAAAGGAUUUUUGUAAUAUUUUCCACUUGUUCAAAUAAGAGUAUUGGCUUAUCACAUCCUACUCAGAAGCAGAAGUCGUUCUCUACGAAUUUCUAAUCUUUACAACAACUCUGGCCCUCCAAAAGGAUUUAAUAGAACUAAUACAUGUUUGUUGGAAUGAGUGAAUAAAUAAAUAAAUACUGUCAUGCAUCAGUUAACAACAGGAAUGCAUUCUGAGAAAUGCAUCCUUAGGUGAUUUCAUUGCUGUGCAAACAACAUAGAGUGUACUUACACAAACCUACGUGGUAUAGCCUACUACAUAACUAGGCUGUGUGGUACUAGUCUUAUGGGACCACUGUCUUAUAUGUGGUCCAUCACUGAUCAAAACAUCAUUGUGCCACACAUGACUACAAUGCCAGUUUUGCCUGCUUCUUAAUCUUGACUGGGCCAAGUUUGCCACUCAGUUGGGCAAGGCAAGUAGACAAUGUUAUUUUAGUGACACAGCAAAACUGCUAUGGCCAACAUUCAGGAAUAUGUGGCAAAGGGCAUGUUUUAGAAACGUGAACCAAUCAUACCCAGACCGUCGAUAUUCCUGACUCUUGGUGUUUAUUUUCACCAGUUUUUGCUUUUCAAGUUCUCCUCCACAACCCCAGGAUGGGAAGUAGUGGAAAGUAGUGGGUGAGAUGUUUGCUUACUAACUUAUCAUCUGUUUCCCCAACUAGACUCCAUGAGGGCAGGGACUUUGGCUUACACACUAUUUUAUCCACAGUAUCUAGCACAGUGCCUGACCCAUAGUAGCUGCUCAAAUCAUUGAAUGAAUGAGUGAAUAUCACUAAAUUCUUUGACAAUCUGGCUUGUUAGCAGAUUAACCUGAUUAAAUGCAUAAAAUAGAAGUAAAACAAGACAAUAGAAGUUAUUGACAGUAACACUGAUACACAAUACUACUUUUAGAAACUUGAGAAGAAGCACUUUAGCAAUAACUUUGAUUUAAAAGAAAAAGAAGUUCAAGGAUAUAUUCUAUUUUAAGGUCCAAAAUAAUAAUCAUUUAUGAGAUUAGAUUGUCCUACAAUCCCUCAAAUAAAAUAAUAUCCUGUCCAUCAAAGUAAGAAGAACUUUGCAGAAAAUAAACCUUGAGCAAAACUUCAAAAUGUAGACAACUUUGGAAAUAUUUUCAACUUCUAGUGCUAACUAUAGUUAUUGGCCACUGGGAACCUGGCAUAGGAACUUCAUCGAUAGUCGUAUUUACACAUACCAGUGCCAAUAAGAUCAUACACACUGAACCAAGAGCAGGAGAGGAAACUAGUUUCAUCUAGUUUUUCAGGAAACUAGAGUUAACCAUGUAUAUUAUUUAUCACUUCAUUUUCUCCCCUGGAGAAUAUUCUUCCACAAGAUCUUUAUGUAAAAGCAGCAUAAUUUUCUUAAAAAUUGUAAGGCUAUGUGAAAUGAUUGAUUUCUACUAAAAAUCUGGGGAGAAACAAAUCCAUUUUAGGAUGUCUGUAGGUGAAAUAAUAGUAAUGAAAAAUAUAAUGUGUGAGCAUAUAUAUUUUAUUUAUAUGUUAUUGAAAAUGUUCAACAGCAGGAUAAUUGGCCAUAGAGUAUGAUUUAUGUUAAAUAAUCCAAAAAGUCCGUUCACUAUGAUUUAAUGUUCUACAUCAGGCACAAACGCAGCAAUCAUGAGAGGAGCCACAGAGUAUGGAGUAAAGCAUAUGGGCUUUGAAAUAAAAGCUUUGAAUUCAAAUCUUUGCCCUCGUGUUACUAGUGAUGUAAUUAACUUCUCUGAACUUCAUUGUCUUCAUUUGUUAAACAGGAAUUAUUGAGAGAGCUCAGAGGAGUCAUCUGCAGUACAGGAGGCUAACUAGGGUUAACUACUAGAAAUAACAAGAGUUGAUCUAGUAAAGGAGAGGAGAUCAACCAGAGCACAGGGAGAGCUAAAGACAAAACAAGGAGAGAAAGAGGCAGAACUAAUAUGAUUUUCAUUCUUUAACCCCAAGAGUGGGAAAUCUCAGGAGCAAAGUGGAACUCUGGCCGGGUAGAAAUAAAGGUCUUGGUCAGAAGUAUGUGAUUAUACUCUACAUCAGUUUGCCCUGGCAAUAGGAUCCUUGCUUUAACAUAAUAACCAUUACAGAGAAAACAAUUCCCUGUAAUUGAAUUAAUGUUGCCUUAAGAAUUAUCUGGAAGGGAAUUUGAAAGGGGAUUAGAUUACAGACAAAAAUUUGUAUCAAAACAGACAAUAUGAUUAUGCAGGAAAGGGUUACCUUGUGCCUGAGUACUGGGAGAGCAUCUGGUACUGAUGACCUGCUGGUUUUUGGAGCUAAUUUUGAUGAGAGUCAGUAGUAUGUAAUAAAUCAGGUAGUUGCACAUCCACACUUUGCCACCCAGUCUAAUCAGACUGCUGCUUGGAAGGAAACCCCAGAAAUCGGGAUUUCAGAACUGGGAAAUGGGAAGUUCCCAUUCUCCUGGCACCUGCUUGUAGAAGUUUGGAACAUCCAGGCCUCCUCAGGGGGCUCUCCCAGUCCUUACAACUGCCAUGGAGGACGGGACCUGCCUGGAGGGAGAGAGAGCAGAAUGGGUCCCCAGGGAUAAUAGUGCCAACCUCAUAGGGUGUUAUGAGAAUUAACUGGGAAAACUUACUAUAAAAGUACUUAGCACAUUCGUGCAUAACAAGUGUUGGUUUCCUUAUCACCUCUUUUAGCAUUUGCAAUGGGUUACACAUUUACUUUCCCUUGAAAUAUUAAAGUGUUUUCAUGUCUUUUAAACCUUAGCCUACCCAUCCAGGCAAUGUUAGGUAUAUGUGUUUACAUGUUACCAAAACCAGAGGAAUCAACAUAUUUACCUUACAAACCAGUUUCAAGUUUAAACUACUUGCCCAAAACCUGAUCUAUAAUUUGGGGGACCUAAGAGUUUUCAAAUGGAAGCAUUAAAAAUAUCACUGAGAUUUUUAGAGUAAAGAAAACAAAAAGCACUCUAAUAAUUGACUUUCUCACCUCUCUCUGCCACUAGAUAGUGAGAAUGUGUUUUGCUAAGCUGUGUGUACCAAGUUCGGGGUUCCUCAGAACUUCUGUUGCUGUUGUUGGUGAAUGAAGGAAUAAAGAGGAAAAAAAGCCGAUUGAGAAACUAUUUCUACGUUGGGGAUUUCAGAUGUAGGGCUCCAGAGACCUUUACUUUUAGAAACCAUUCUUCCCAUUUCAGUUCCAAAUAUUAAGCAAACCUACGUACUCAUGGAAUCUCACUGAAACCUACAGUGUUUUUUUCAAGGGAAACUAGCAAGAUUAAAGAGAUUAUGAGAAAGAGACUAGAGCGUUGUGAUGAAAUCAGUGUACCAUGUUUAUUGGAUCAUUCUAAAUGCCUGUGAUCUUUAACAUAAAGGAUUGCCUUUUAUUUUAGCAACCGAAAAUGCCAUUAACUUUGCAAGCAUUUAACUGUUUCUGGUCUCAGGAUUUCAUAAUAGAAUUUACUUUUCAUUAAGAAAUAAAAUUUUAGAUUAUUUCAGGCUAUGUUUUCUGCAAAACCUGUUUUAGUUCCUCACUAAACAUCAUGAAAAGGGGCAAAGCUGAAUCUUGUGGACUGAACAGCUAAGGAUUUAUGGGGCUAAAUGGUCACUGUCCCUAAUAAUCUAUAAUUUUUCACACAGAGAGAUACAAAAUCACCAGGAAGAAAGGUGGAUUGUUAUUUUCCUGAAUUAGAAGUCUUAGUAGCAAGUGACAGAAACACAUAUCAAACUGGUAUCAGAAGAGAGGGAAAGAAACAGAAAGAGAGAGAGAGAACAUCAAAAGGAAUUGAUUGACUUAAUUAUCUGAGUAGCACAGUAGUAACUCUCACUUCAGGCCCGGCUGGGUCCAAGGUUUGAGAUGAUGAUAUUAGGAUUCAGCUUUCCUCCAUUUCUUUAUUCAGAUUUUCUCUGUAUUUGCUUAACUCUCAGACAGGCUCUUUCUAUGUUGUGGCGCUUAAAAGCUCCACAGAGACUUACAUCUUCCCAGCUUCAAAUUAAGCAAAGAAACAGAAAGAGAGAGAGAGAGGAAGGGAGGGAGGGAAGGAAGUCCCAAAACUGAGUUUCAUUGGUAUAGCUGGAGUAAUGUGACCAAUGACAUCCAGGAAGUGGAAGCCUCUUUUUGGCCAGUUCUAGGUCAUAUCACAUAUCACCUCAGAAGUCAGAAGGUACAGGAGAAGAGGUGAAGUGCUACCCAAACCUGAGGUUAUUUGUUUACAGUUACUGUAACUGUGUGUUUCUUCAAAGUCCAGGCCUGGCCUCUCCGCCAUUCAUGUUUAAAUUCCGCUUUUGAGUAAAUCAUUCCUAAGUAGUCAGUCAGCUUGGAUUGUUAUGCCAGUGAUACACACCUAGCUUUAUCUCUUUCUCAAGCUUAUCACAACUUGGCUUGCUAUAUAUUAAAAUUUGGCUCUGCAGGGAACACCAUAAUAAGUUGGGUUGUUGUAGGAAAGGAAAAUAUGUGGUGGCGAUAACAUCAUUGGGAAGAUAUGUUUUAGUUUGCUUUGAGAGAUGAGUCUGAUUCCUCCAUGCAUGGGGCUUAAUUAGAUUUUAAAGAUUGCUAUUGCUAAAGCACAGCUGUAGAAAACUUUGGGACGUAGUAUAGGUUUGUCUUUCUGUUAUUAACGGAUAAAGGAAAUAAAAUAUUAAUCUCUUUAGUGAAUUUGUCUGUUUAUGAACAUGGUUCAUGACACAGAUGGAAGAGUCAGUAAAGCCAUGCUGCCUCCAGAAGCUUCUCAAGGAAGGACAUUAGCACCACGUAGCAUGGCAAUGAGAAGAAUGCUGAUUUGGAAUGAUAGAACUGGAUCUGUGUCUUCGUCCUACACCUACUAUUUGUAGAACGCUGGACAGUUUACUUAACCCUCCUAAAAGAAGCUGAAGAUCAAGACUUGGAAAGAGUAGCACGUUUCUUAGUGAAGAAACAGCCAAGAAAAUUACUGCUCUCCUAGCUCAAUGAGAAGCAUUAAUUAAAGGUAAGACAUGGGAAAGAAGUAAAAUGGAGAACUUGUAAGAGUAAGUUGUGUCAUAAUUAACCUUCGUAAUUCCUCUAAAUUUUACAGCAUGACUGUCUUGUUGCAGAGGCCCUUGAAUUAUUUAAAAUAUUUCUAAAGGAAGCCUUUGAAAUCCCUAGAGAUGACUUUUUACGUUUUUAUAAAGAUUCUUUCCACUUCCAUUCAGAUUCUCUGCACAAGUUCAUAUGAUAAAACAUAAACAAUCUGUAGUCUUGGAUAAUGGGAAUGGAUUUAUGUAAACCUGGGACUAUCCUGCUUGUUUACAGUGACAUCAAUUGAGGAAUCUCCACUACAGAAAAAUAUUCCAUAUGUGUGAUUGUGGGGUCUCCAGAAUUAUGCACUCUGAAUUUUUAAUUUUAUCUUUGUUUAAUCAUUCCCAGUGAGGUAAAACAGCUCUCUGAUUAAUGUUCUUAAAUCAUGGCAAACACUGAUUCCAAUAUCUAUACAAAAUUGCGUAUGUGCGUUUGAAUGGAGGAAUAAAUAUUGUGGGGGCAAGGGGUGAUGCAGAAGGAUUGUUAGACACAUACUAUAAUAUAUUAUACUCUUCUUCUUGUUUUUCCUGAUUAAACACAUUUGUGUUCUAUUACUCAUGGCUACAACUACAUAGAAGGCAUAAUAGAAACAUUCUCCCCUGUUCAUGCAGCCACAAGUACAAGCAUGAAACAAAUUUCCACCAAGAACCUCUGCAGUGUGUGUUGGGGAAAAGAAAUACAUGGAACUAGGAAGAAGUCUCCAACUAUGAUCACAUUUGGAUUUUCUCAGAAUACCUUGUAAGAGGGGGAUGUUUCUCAGCUCUGUGCCAAAAACUCAGAACCUGGAGGUGGGGAGACUAGAGAGACUGAAUCUUGGUCCCCCCACCCGCAGUAAUAUUCAUUUCAGCUGUUUCAGCUUCCCAGCCUACAGUACAAGGAAGAAACCAAAGUUACCAUGACAAUUUCUAAACUGUUAGCAAAACCAAUAGUCUACUACAGGGUGGGGGAGAAUGAAGAUCUUCAUCGCCUCUUCCCAUUCAUGAGCGUAAUCACUAAGCCUAUCAGUUUGCUAGAGGAGACAAUCAGUAAUGAACUCAUUACAGAAAUAAACUUAGCAAUCCAGUGGAAAUGGGCAAAGAAGAUGAGCUGAGAGUUCACGUGCACUCAAAAAGCAAAUGGCUGUUAAACACAUGAAAAGAAACUAGAUCUCUCUAAUAGAGAAGAAAGGACAAAAUAAAAUAAAAGUGCAGUGAGAUAUCAUUUUCAUGUGGCAGACUGAGCAAGACCCAAAAGUUUUGUGGUUCCUUGGAUGGAUGAGGGUGAACAGACUGUUGUUGAUGGGGAUGGAAAUUGAUAGAAUAUUUCGGAAGUCUAUUUGGAAAUAUCUACCAAAAUGUAAAGAGAAUACAGCAAAAUUCAUAAUGCACACACAUGUCUAGGACUUUUCUUAAAGCUAUAAUCACCCUAAUGUGCAAAACCAUAUGUACGAAGAUUAUUUAUUACAGCACUGAAUACUGUUUGUAAUAACAAAAUAAUGCAGACAAUCUUAACAUCUGACAAUAGUAAAAUGCUCAAAUAAACUAAAUGCCUGUACAAUAGAAUAUCAUGCAGUCAUUAAGGAGAGGGUGGUUCUGAUAUGGACUAUUGUCAAGAUAUUUUGUUAAAUUACAUAAAAUAGAUACAGGAAAGUGUGCAGAUUUUCUGCCACCCUCCCCCAUUCACUGUCCUCCAGCCAUCCUGGCCUUUCUGUUUCUCAAGUAUGCCAAGCUCAUUUCAGCCUCAAGGCCUUUGUACUUGCUCUUCCUUCUGUCUGGAAUGUCUUCCCAAUUUUCACAUAGCUGGUGUCUGUUCAUCUUUCAGGUCUUAGUGCAAAUUCCUCCUCCUUAGACAGACCUUCUGACUACUAGCAGCCAUAUCUUACUGAAAGAAUCAGCCUGUUUUGCUUGAAACUGUGUGAUAUUACUAAUGCGUUUGUGAAGUAGAGUCCAUAAUAGCUAGAGUGCCCCACCUGUCACUUGUGUGAUUUUCUUCACAGGACUUAGCACUACUUGGAAACAUUUCAUUUUAAAAAUCAUUUUACAUGUUUAUUACUAACCCUUCCAUACACUCCAACUUAUUAGGAUUUAAGGCCCAUAAGGACAGGAAUUUUGUCCUGUUCAUCCCUAUGCCUCCAAUAUUUAGAGUGGCGCCAAAUACAGAGUAAACUCUCAAUAAAAGUUGAAUAAAUGAGUGAAUAAAGGAGAUACCCAUAUAUGCAAAAAAUAUUUCUAGAAAGUACCCAAGGAAAUCUUAGGCUGGUUCUUCAAGGGAAGGAACAGGAAGAAAACUCUUGUUCUGGUUUCAGUGUGCGAGAGAAACCAGGUGAGUGAGACACCGUGACUGACCUAGGUCUGCUCUAUAGGCAAGGAGAUGUUUCUUUGCCCUUGCGGGGCCAUCAGGAUAAGGCCUAAUAGCCUUCAGUUCAUAGUCAUACAGGAAUUGCAUACCUGCUGUGAAAGCAGAGUUGUUAUCUCACAUUGAAAGUCAAGGAAUAUUUAGACGCCAUUUCUCAGCUCCAAGCCCACCUUCUGUCCUGGUAGACUGGGAUUACUCAAACUACAUCCCCAAGACUCCCUUGCCUUAUGGCUUUCUAUUAGGUUCUAUCAAUGGAAAUCACAAGACAAAUACUCGAAGUAGUAAGCAGGGGAGGAGGAGCUUAUUUCCUAUUUUCUAUUUCUUGUUGGCAAUCUUCACUAAUAGCCCACAGUUGGCUACAACUUCCACCUUUUUCCAGCACUCGCAGUUCCAUUCUUACCAAGCUGCCUGGUAGCAGCCAAGCUGAGACCCUUGGCAGCCCUAGUAGGAGGUAAACUGCAUUCCCUUACCAAAUGUGCUGCUCCCUUGAGCCCUGGGAGACCCCACUAGGCCCUGCCCCUUCUCAGAGGGUUAGGCACCAACUGCAUGGAGUCCCUUCCCAGAAGCCCAAGCACUAGUUCUGUAGGGGCUGUUCUCCCAGCUCAUAGGUUCUGGUUAGAGGCCUCUUCCCCAUGUUCUCCAGGCUUGGGAGUGGUAGCUGCUUCCUACUGUCAUUAAUCUCUGGGUGCCUCAGCAUCCUCUUUUUGCUCUUUUAGCCUUCCAACUUAUGCAUAACCAAUUCCCUGUAAUUCGAACUAUUAUGGUUUCUAUUUUCCUUCCUGGAACAUCACCAAUGCAGUGCUUGUUCUGGGCUUUCUUCUCUAGGUCUAUGUUAUUCCCCUGGGUGAUCUUCAUUUAUCUUGAUCCAUUUAUACCCCUUAAGACAUAUAUCCAACUUCCUAUUUGCUAUUUACAUCUUAAAGUCUAAUAGACACCUCAAAUUUAUCUUGUCAAAAAAUGAACUCAUGUUGUACCAAUCUAUUCCUCUGCCAGAAUUUCCCAUCUCAGUAAAUUCAUUCAUUUGUUUGAUCCAAAUCCUCUAUCUAUUCAUUUGUUCAAUCCAAAACCCUAGCAGUCAUUCUUGCUUCCUAUCCUUCCUUGGUUAUUCAUAUUCAGUAUAUCAAUAUGUCAUGUUGGUUUCAUCUCCGAAACUAGACAUCCGUCUCCUCCUUUCCAUCUCUUACGUCAUUCUGCAGUCUACGUCAUCAUUAUCUAUCACUUUGGCUAUUACAGUUGUCUUCUAAGUGGUCUCCAUCUUUCAACUCUAGCCUUUCUAGAGCUGUUUUUCUACCUCAUAGCCAUAAUAAUAUUUAAAAAUGUAAGUUACAAUGAAAGUUAAAUCCAAACUCUUUAUCAUAGCCCUGUGAGAGUCCUGCUGGCACUUCCAACCUCAUCUGCUAUCACAGUCUGUUUGCACUAACUGUGCUCUAGACUCAGAGGCCUCUUCUUUGUCUCAUGCCACAUCAAGCUCUAUACAGACUGAAGUCCUUUAAAUUCACUGCUUCUUCUACAAGGAAUCUUCUUCUACUGGUUGUUCACAUGGUCUUAGUUUUCAUGUCAUAUCCUCAGGGAGGCGUUUCCUGACCACCAAAUCUAAAGUAGCCUUCCUCCCCUAAUUCCUCUCUAUUACAGAGUCCAAUUUACCUCCUUCAUACUCUUAUCUUGAUUACUUGUCCUUUCCUUUGUUUCCUGUCUAAAUACAUGGGAGGGGCCUUGCUAUUUAAUAUCACCUCCCUAGCACCUGAACACUCUCUAUUCCCUAAAAAGUGCUCAGUAAUAUUUGCUGACUGAAUGAAUGAAUGCUUUUAGUAUGCUCUUGUUUAAAGUACUCCAACAUUCAAGUCCUUAUGCACUUUCAAAUAUAUAAAAUUUUCCACUACACUGGAAAAUCUAUAGAAUUAGAUUUUUCUCCCAUCUACUCUCCUUUCCUAUCACACUUCCUAGGAAAUUUCUUGAGGAAAAGCAGCUUAUAAGAUCAAGACUUGAUGACAUAGCUAGCAUUUUCUUUGGAAAAAUAAUACAUAAAUGUAAGUCAAAGAUGCAGAUACACCAGAAUCUACGAGAUUUUCACAACAGCGAGAUUCAUGGCCUUUAAAAAUAUGUAGAACAAGAUGGAACAAAUGUUUUCAGUAGAUGUUCAGGUGCUCUUUUCUAAAAAUAACAUACGUAACCACAAAUCAAUGUUUAAAACCAGAUGGUUAAUGAAGGCCAGCCAGAAAACUCCUCUAAUUCACAGUAAUGAGUAUGGUAAUGAGCUCCCAUUAUAAACCAAACUGCAGCGUGACACACUGUAUCUAUUUCAAAUAAUAGUAAUUUGAUUGUUACAUAUUUUUCAAAGCUCCAAAGCUUAAUUUAUGGAGAAAAAUGUUUAAAAGCCUGAUUGAUGGAGUUAAUCAUGCCCAUUUAGUCAAAUGAAAAGUGGCUUACAUUUUAUUAACAAGACCUGUUCAAAUGUCAGAUGUCAUCAGAAGGAAAACAAUAUUCAAACCCAAAUAAAAGUUAAGAUCUUUCAAAACAUGAAAGAAGUCCCAUUACUAUGGUUGAAAAGAAUAUUUUUCCCUCAACUCUUUGAUGUCUUUACUUUUCAAAUAGGACCCUAAGAAAGGCGUGUUCUAUUGAACAAAAUGCUUCAGGGACUCUGCCAUGAUGGAAAAAUGCCAGGGAUUGAAUUU